GAGUUUGAUCGUGGCUCAGAGUGAACGCUGGCGGUAGGCCUAACACAUGCAAGUCGAACGGCAGCACAGUAAGAGCUUGCUCUUAUGGGUGGCGAGUGGCGGACGGGUGAGGAAUACAUCGGAAUCUACUUUUUCGUGGGGAUAACGUAGGGAAACUUACGCUAAUACCGCAUACGGCCUACGGGUGAAAGCAGGGGAUCUUCGGACCUUGCGCGAUUGAAUGAGCCGAUGUCGGAUUAGCUAGUUGGCGGGGUAAAGGCCCACCAAGGCGACGAUCCGUAGCUGGUCUGAGAGGAUGAUCAGCCACACUGGAACUGAGACACGGUCCAGACUCCUACGGGAGGCAGCAGUGGGAUAUUGGACAAUGGGCGCAAGCCUGAUCCAGCCAUACCGCGUGGGUGAAGAAGGCCUCGGUUG
rnacentral:rRNA from 1 species